AACGAACGCUGGCGGCAUGCCUAACACAUGCAAGUCGAACGAGAUCUUCGGAUCUAGUGGCGCACGGGUGCGUAACGCGUGGGAAUCUGCCCCUUGCUUCGGAAUAACAGUGAGAAAUUACUGCUAAUACCGGAUGAUGUCUUCGGACCAAAGAUUUAUCGGCAAGGGAUGAGCCCGCGUAGGAUUAGGUAGUUGGUGGGGUAAUGGCCUACCAAGCCGACGAUCCUUAGCUGGUCUGAGAGGAUGAUCAGCCACACUGGGACUGAGACACGGCCCAGACUCCUACGGGAGGCAGCGGUGGGGAAUAUUGGACAAUGGGCGAAAGCGUGAUCCAGCAAUGCCGCGUGAGUGAUGAAGGCCUUAGGGUUGUAAAGCUCUUUUACCAGGGAUGAUAAUGACAGUACCUGGAGAAUAAGCGCCGGCUAACUCCGUG
rnacentral:rRNA from 1 species